AGAAAUAGGUGCUAAUACCGCAUAAGCGCACAGUCCCGCAUGGGACAGAGUGAAAAACAUUAGUGGUGUAAGAUGGACCCGCGUCUGAUUAGCUUGUUGGCGGGGUAACGGCCCACCAAGGCGACGAUCAGUAGCCGGCCUGAGAGGGUGGACGGCCACAUUGGGACUGAGACACGGCCCAAACUCCUACGGGAGGCAGCAGUGGGGGAUAUUGGACAAUGGGGGAAACCCUGAUCCAGCGACGCCGCGUGAGUGAAGAAGUAUUUCGGUAUGUAAAGCUCUAUCAGCAGGGAAGAAAGAAAUGACGGUACCUGAGUAAGAAGCCCCGGCUAACUACGUGCCAGCAGCCGCGGUAAUACGUAGGGGGCAAGCGUUAUCCGGAAUUACUGGGUGUAAAGGGAGCGUAGACGGUUAAGUAAGUCUGGAGUGAAAGGCCGGGGCCCAACCCCGGGACUGCUCUGGAAACUAUUCAACUUGAGUGCAGGAGAGGUAAGCGGAAUUCCUAGUGUAGCGGUGAAAUGCGUAGAUAUUAGGAGGAACACCAGUGGCGAAGGCGGCUUACUGGACUGUAACUGACGUUGAGGCUCGAAAGCGUGGGGAGCAAACAGGAUUAGAUACCCCUGGUAGUCCACGCCGUAAACGAUGAUUACUAGGUGU
rnacentral:rRNA from 1 species